rnacentral:rRNA from 1 species
UACGAAGGGUGCAAGCGUUAAUCGGAAUUACUGGGCGUAAAGGGAGCGUAGGCGGACAUUUAAGUCAGGGGUGAAAUCCCGGGGCUCAACCUCGGAAUUGCCUUUGAUACUGGGUGUCUUGAGUAUGAGAGAGGUGUGUGGAACUCCGAGUGUAGAGGUGAAAUUCGUAGAUAUUCGGAAGAACACCAGUGGCGAAGGCGACACACUGGCUCAUUACUGACGCUGAGGCUCGAAAGCGUGGGGAGCAAACAGG